AGCAGCCGCGGUAAUUCCAGCUCCAAUAGCGUAUAUUAAAGUUGUUGCAGUUAAAAAGCUCGUAGUUGAAUUUCGGGAUCAAUAUGUCGGUCGUGCUUUUUGGUACGUACUGGCGUCAUUGGUUUCUCCUUUCUGACGAACCAUGAUGUCAUUAAUUUGGUGUUAUGGGGAGUUAGGACUGUUACUUUGAAAAAAUUAGAGUGUUUAAAGCAAGCUAACGCUUGAAUACAUUAGCAUGGAAUAAUGAAAUAGGACGUUCGAUCCUAUUUUGUUGGUUUCUAGGAUUGACGUAAUGAUUAAUAGGGAUAGUUGGGGGCAUUAGUAUUCAAUUGUCAGAGGUGAAAUUCUUGGAUUUAUUGAAGACUAACUACUGCGAAAGCAUUUGCCAAGGAUGUUUUCAUUAAUCAAGAACGAAAGUUAGGGGAUCGAAGACGAUCAGAUACCGUCGUAGUCUUAACCAUAAACUAUGCCGACUAGGGAUCGGAUGAUGUUAAUUUUUUAAUGACUCAUUCGGCGCCUU
rnacentral:rRNA from 1 species